rnacentral:SRP_RNA from 1 species
CGGGUCUCCUCGCAUUGUGAGAUGGUCAACCGGGUCAGGGUCGGAAGGCAGCAGCCCCAGCCGUUGCAGCAAGUGCCGAGGUCAAGGCUCGC